UAGGGAAUCUUCCGCAAUGGGCGAAAGCCUGACGGAGCAACGCCGCGUGAGUGAUGAAGGUCUUCGGAUCGUAAAACUCUGUUAUUAGGGAAGAACAAAUGUGUAAGUAACUAUGCACGUCUUGACGGUACCUAAUCAGAAAGCCACGGCUAACUACGUGCCAGCAGCCGCGGUAAUACGUAGGUGGCAAGCGUUAUCCGGAAUUAUUGGGCGUAAAGCGCGCGUAGGCGGUUUUUUAAGUCUGAUGUGAAAGCCCACGGCUCAACCGUGGAGGGUCAUUGGAACCUGGAAAACUUGAGUGCAGAAGAGGAAAGUGGAAUUCCAUGUGUAGCGGUGAAAUGCGCAGAGAUAUGGAGGAACACCAGUGGCGAAGGCGACUUUCUGGUCUGUAACUGACGCUGAUGUGCGAAAGCGGGGGGAUCAAACAGG
rnacentral:rRNA from 1 species